UGUGACAUAUCCCUGCAAUGAUCACCCAGGUGAUAUAACUCUUCUCUAGGAUCUGCCUACUGGGUGCUUUGUGACAUAUCCCUGCAAUGAUCACCCAGGUGAUAUACCACUUGUCAAGGCCCUGCCUACAGGGGCAUUGCGAUGUAUCUCUGCACUGAUCACCUAGGUCAUGUAAAUCUUUUCUAGGCUCUACCUAUAGUGGCAUUGUGACAUAUCUCUGCACUGAUCACCCAGGUGAUGUAACUCUUUUCUAGGAUCUGCCUACAGGGUGCUUUGUGACAUAUCCCUGCAAUGAUCACCCAGGUGAUGUACCACUUGUCAAGGCUCUGCCUACAGGGACAUUGCGAUGUAUCUCUGCACUGAUCACCGAGGUCAUGUAACUCUAGUCUAGGCUCUGCCUACUGUAGCAUAGUGACAUAUCUCUGCACUGAUCAUCCAAGUGAUGUAACCUUUCUCUAGGAUCUGCCUAAAGGGAAUUUGUGACAUAACUCUGCACUGAUCAUCCAGGUGAUGGGGCUUUUAUCUAGGCUCUGCCUAAGGGGGCAUUGUGACAUAUUUCUGCACUGAUCACCCAGGUGAAGGACUCUUGUCUUCGAUCGGCCUAUAGGGGCAUUGUGACAUAUUUCUGCACUGAUCACCCAGGUGAUGGGACUCUUGUCUAGGCUCUGUGUAUGGGGACUUUGUGACAUAUCUCUGCAGUAAUCACCCAGGUGAUGUAACGCUUGACUAGGCUCUGCCUACGGGGCAUAGUGACAUAUCACUGCAUUGAUCACUGAGGUGAUGUAACUCUUGUCCGACUCUGCGUAUAGGGGGCCUUGUGACAUAUCUCUGCACUGAUCAUCUAGGUGAUGUAACUCUUGCUUACACUCUGCCUGCAGGGGCAUUGUGAAAUAUCUCUGCACUGAUCACGCAGGUGAUUGGACUCUUCUGUAGGCUCCGCCUCCUGAGGGCAUUGUCACAUAUUUCUGCAAUGAUCACCCAGGGGUAUUGAGACAUAUCUCUG
rnacentral:lncRNA from 10 species